rnacentral:lncRNA from 1 species
AAACCCCAAAAACCAUAUAUUUGGAAUCCUUGAGACCUAACGAACUCAAUGGUACCCUUGCAUGCGCCAUAUGAGCACCGUGGGUUUUUCUGCCAUUGAAGCCGAGAGCUUCAAAGCUCUAAAACUCGAACCCAGGUGAGGAUUGUGUUCCUUCUUCAAAUUUCUGAGUUAUGCAUGUUGGUUUUAUGACAAAACUCAAGGGUUUCGAUCUCAGUUUUUCCCUAUGCUAAUAAUCUAGUUCCGACGACAAACUCUGGCGAGUUCGUAGGUGUGUGUGUGCAGGUGUGUAUAUGUGUCCGUGUGUGUGUGCGCGAACUGUGUGUGUGUGUGAGCAUACUGUGCAUGCCGUGUAUACUGUGCGUGUGUGUAUGUGAUUAUGGGUGUGUGUGUUGUGCGGUGCAGGUGUGUGUGUGUGUACCGUGUGCAUGUGUGUGUGCAGUGCAUGCAUAUGCAGACUGUACAUGUGUGUGUUUUUAUAUAUUGCAAGUGUGUGUGUUGGUGUGAAUGUAUGUGUGCAUGCGUGGGAGUGUGUGUGUGUGCUGGUGUGUAAGUAUAUGCAGUGGCGGAUCCAGGAAUCUUACCCUAAGGGGUCGUAGUGUAAAAGUUCAAUAAGGAUAGCGCGCGUAGCGCGAAAUUUUUUUUUAACAGAAACGGCAUGCAUAUCGUCAUUUCAUUGGGAUAGCGCGACUAGCUACUCCAAAAUCCUUGUUCAAAGGUCCUGAACGUACAAAAAAAAUAUCUAAGAAGUCUAAAAUUUAGAAACACAUUAAGCAUAUAUGUCAUAUAACUUAAGAUAUUUUGAAUAAUUAUAUCUAAUUUUUCAAAAAUAAAAAUAAAAAUAAAAAUCUCAUGUAAUGAAUUGGAUGGUUUCAUAAUAAAAAAAACUAGAAAGCAAUGCCAGACAUCCCCAAACUACGUACAUUGCUAUCAUCAAAGAAAUCCCCUAACCAAACACACGUGGCUUAACGCGCUUAACGUGCUGUCAAGUUAUAUGGGUGGCUUACAUUUGUAAAUGUCUGGCAUUGCUUUGAUGAUAGCAAUGCAAACACCUCCAACGGUCAGAAAAGCAUUGCAAACACCUUCCAUCACUCACAUUAGCAAGAGACUCACAAACAAAGACCAUAUUUUAUUCUUUUUUAUUCUUUGCUUUUCCCCAUCUCUAAUAUAAAAAUUUAAACCUGGGUAUUGACAGCCCAUUUUUCCUUUUUGAAAACGUCAACUGCUAUCCAAAUGUGAUUGGACAAAAUUAUAAAAUAAAUUUUAUGGGAAAGUUUGAGAUGGUCACGUGAGAAGGAAAGGAUGAGAGAGAAACUCAUCUUCUUCCUCCUUUCGUCGCAAGAACAGAACCUGAAAAACUUAGAAAUUCCAGAACACUGCACUCGUUUUGCCCAGGUUGCUUUUAAAAAAAAACAGGCGCGCAGCGCCUUCUCCUUCGUCUUCGUUUUGCCCAGCCGCCGAGGAGCCUUUCGUCGAACAGUUGGUGUGCAGCCAAGGGGUCGCACCAGUCAGCUCCAAGGGGUCGUUCCACCAUCUCCAAGGGGUCUCUAAGGUAGUUUACAUGGCUUCCAAGGGGUCGUGUGACCUCAUUGACCCCACUGUGGAUCCGCCUCUGAGUAUAUGUAUGUGUGUGUGUUUAUAUAUAUAUAUAUAUAUAUAUGCAUGUGUGUGUGCAGCGCAUGCUGCGUGUGUAUGUGUUUAUAUAUAGAUAUAUAUAUAUAUAUAUAUAUAUAUAUAUAUAUAUAUAUAUAUAUAUGCAUGUGUGGGUGCAGCGCAUGCUAAUGCAUGCUCUGUGUGUGUGUGUGUGUUUAUAUAUGUGUGUGUGUAUAUAUGUAUAUAUAUAUAUAUAUAUGCAAGUGUGUGUGUGUGCAGUGCAUGCUUUGCAUGUGUGUGUGUGUGGUUGGUAUGGGUUGGGCUCAAGCCCAAACCACCUCUUGAUCCUAACCUAUCCAAACCCAAAACCCAUUUCCAUUUCCUAAAAUUCUAUCUUUUGGGUAGUUUAUUAAAUUGUACAUUUUCGUGCUUAGGUGAAGUUGCUAGUGGAGACUUCCUUAAUCAUUUUUCGCACAAUUCUGCUGCUUCGGAGUAUCUGUGAGUGGACCACCUUCGAAAAUUGCAUGUUUUAUU